rnacentral:tRNA from 1 species
UGGGGCUUUAGCUCAGUUGGGAGAGCGCCUGCUUUGCAAGCAGGAGGUCAUCGGUUCGAUCCCGUUAAGCUCCAU